GGCUUUUUGUUAUAAAUUUAAGGUCUAACCUGCCCAGUGAAUAAUUUUAACGGCCGCAGUAAUUUGACUGUGCUAAGGUAGCAUAAUCAUUAGUUUUUUAAUUGGAAACUGGAAUGAAAGGUUGAAUGAGAAGAUAACUGUCUCUUUAAGAAAUUUUGAAUUUUACUUUUGAGUAAAAAGGCUCAAAUGAUAUUAAAAGACGAGAAGACCCUUUAGAGUUUAAUUGAAUUAUAAUAUUAUUAUGUUAUUGGGAUAAAAAAUUUAUAUUUUAAUUUAAUUUGGUUGGGGUGAUUAAUAAAUUAGAAAAACUUUAUUUUUAUUAUACAUUUAUAUAUGAUUUUUUGAUCCAUAAUUUUGAUUAUUAGAUAAAAUUACCUAAGGGAUAACAGCGUAAUUUUUUUGGAGAGUUCUUAUUAAUAAAAAAGGUUGCGA
rnacentral:rRNA from 1 species